ACAUGCCAGCUUCCUCAGGCUCCUGGUUCCAUAAUGUUCCACUGUGGUGAACUACCCAAUGGAAUUGACACAAGAACCUGGAGAUCUCAAGACUUUUCCUCCAGACUCCUGCCCAUUUCUACAGUGGUUAGAUGCAGGUCUGUUAUAAAUCCAUCUUCUAACAGUUUGAUGGAGACGACAAGGAGCUGGAGAACAUGGCAUUCCCACUGUGGCACUGCCAUAGGAAGACACAGAAAUCAAGCUUAAAGCAGCCUUGUCAACACAGACCAUACCAGCUGAUGCCAAAUAAUUUAGAGGAUAAGAACAUUAAUGCUUCCUGGUUAUUAGGCACCCUUCUGUUGGUAUCAUAUGCCUUACAGAUGGCAGCACUUAGACAUUAUUUACAGGAACUAGGGAACCAAUAGCAGAAACUAAACAUGUUUGAGAAGUUCUGUUGUACGUGACUGUUAUAAAUAAAACUUUUGAAGACUCCGGUU